GGAGAGGUGGCAGAGUGGCCGAUUGCACCGGUCUUGAAAACCGGCGUGCUGAAAGGUACCGGGGGUUCGAAUCCCCCCCUCUCCGC
rnacentral:tRNA from 1 species